rnacentral:lncRNA from 13 species
AGGGAGGGAGAGAGAAAGCAUGUCACAGAUGAAAGCACAUUCUCAAAGGUCAGGGCAAAGUGUCCUUAUUUCAGCAAAUGAUCUGGCUUAACUUCAUAACGAAAUAAUCCUGCUAUCUGAUACUGCCUGAGAAAUAAACAGUGUUUUUAUAAAGUUCUUGCCCAUUUCACAGCACUUCCCUGUGACACUGUAAUAAAGUAGGUUGCAGCAAGUAUCCUGCACGCCAUGCCUCCAAAUGUACCAGUUAAUUACUGAGUCCUUUAAACCUACUAACAAGAGAAGCCUUGUUCUUUCAACCUAUUGCUUUAUGCCAAAAAAAAAAAAAAAAAAAGGAAAAAAAAGAAAAAAAAGUCAUUGGGCAAAUAAAUCUUUCCAGAGAAAACAGAUUUGUUUCCAAAUCAGUCAACUGUGCUGAACUGGAAAGAAAGAAAUGUUAUUUUUUCCAGGAUGAAAGCAAAACAAGAUCUCUCCCUGUUUAUCCUGUCUCACCCAUUUCUAAAGAAGCUUUUAGAUGCUGCUGACUGCACUGGCUGGAUUUCAGCUGACUACACCGGGAGCUCAGACACCUGGCUCAUCUGUAGACUCCAAGUGUGUGCUACCUCUUCUGAAACACUGGCCACUGGAGUUGUCCUGCAGUAGUGUGGUUGGCCUCCGGCUGCCUCUCCAGGUGGAUAUGUGCCUCUGGUAGAUGCUGUGCCACUUCUGCCAGAUCAGCCUGAACACCUCAGCUGUCUCACAGCAUCUCAGGUGGCUCAUGGUGCUUUGUGUGAUCAACUUAACUGACCUCAUGGAGUUUGUAUCAACUGUUUCCAAACAGGGAGACCUUCCAGUGCCACCCUCAAGAUUUAAACCAUGAGCAGUGGACAAGCCUGUUUAUGAGAGCAAACUCAGACUUGUGUUUAAUUUUGAGCACAAAUAAAACCUACCAUGGGAGGAGAAAGAAUGGUGAACAGACAAUUUCUUCUCCGUGCCUUCAUGGUGGGUGCAGUAGCAGUUCCUCAGAAGCAUUCUUUCUGUGAGGAUCCUGUCAGAUACAGAGGAAACGCCGAAUUGUAACCAUAUGUGGGGGCCCCGCACAAUGCAAUCCCAUUCCAGCUCCAUUAAUUUUAGUUUCUGUUAUUUCAUGUUGCACUACUUAAAUGUCUCCAGGCAAAUUAUCAUCAAAGUUCUACACAAAUUAGCAAAAGGUUGAAUUUUUCCUUUCCUGAUUUAUGCCAAGGAAGAGA